GACGAACGCUGGCGGCGUGCUUAACACAUGCAAGUCGAACGGAAAGGCCCUGCUUUUGUGGGGUGCUCGAGUGGCGAACGGGUGAGUAACACGUGAGUAACCUGCCCUUGACUUUGGGAUAACUUCAGGAAACUGGGGCUAAUACCGGAUAGGAGCUCCUGCUGCAUGGCGGGGGUUGGAAAGUUUCGGCGGUUGGGGAUGGACUCGCGGCUUAUCAGCUUGUUGGUGGGGUAGUGGCUUACCAAGGCUUUGACGGGUAGCCGGCCUGAGAGGGUGACCGGCCACAUUGGGACUGAGAUACGGCCCAGACUCCUACGGGAGGUAGCAGUGGGGAAUAUUGCACAAUGGGCGGAAGCCUGAUGCAGCAACGCCGCGUGCGGGAUGACGGCCUUCGGGUUGUAAACCGCUUUCGCCUGUGACGAAGCGUGAGUGACGGUAAUGGGUAAAGAAGCACCGGCUAACUACGUG
rnacentral:rRNA from 1 species